ACAAACUUGGUCAUUUAGAGGAAGUAAAAGUCGUAACAAGGUUUCCGUAGGUGAACCUGCGGAAGGAUCAUUCAUAAUAAAGUGUUUUAUGGCACUUUUUAAAAAAAUCCAUAUCCACCUUGUGUGCAACGUUUUAUAUUUUAUAGACUUUAUUUUCUAUAAAUUAUAAUUACAUCAACUCAUUUAAAAACUAAUUUGUCUGAAAAAAUAUUAUGAAUACUUAAUUCAAAAUACAACUUUCAACAACGGAUCUCUUGGCUCUCGCAUCGAUGAAGAACGCAGC
rnacentral:misc_RNA from 1 species